GAUGAACGCUAGCGGCAGGCCUAAUACAUGCAAGUCGAACGGUGUCUUCGGACAUAGUGGCGCACGGGUACGUAACACGUAUGCAACCUACCUUACAUUGGGGGAUAGCCUUUCGAAAGGGAGAUUAAUACCGCAUAAGACAGUAGCUGGGCAUCCAGCAGCUGUUAAAGAUUUAUCGAUGUAUGCUGGGCAUGCGUCCAAUUAGCUGGUUGGUGAGGUAACGGCUCACCAAGGCAAUGAUUGGUAGGGGAACUGAGAGGUCAAUCCCCCACACUGGCACUGAGAUACGGGCCAGACUCCUACGGGAGGCAGCAGUAGGGAAUAUUGGGCAAUGGACGCAAGUCUGACCCAGCCAUGCUGCGUGCAGGAUGAAGGCGUUAUGCGUUGUAAACUGCUUUUAUACAGGAAGAAACGACUCUUGCGAGAGGCAUUGACGGUACUGUAUGAAUAAGCACCGGCUAACUCCGUGCCAGCAGCCGCAGUAACAC
rnacentral:rRNA from 1 species